ACUUUUUAACCACACAGACCUGUCUUCUUACAAGAAUUCGAGAAGCUUAAAAGGAAACUCCAGUCCCACAAACACGCGACGUGUGCCUCACGGCACACAGCAGGUGCGCGAAUCGAGAGCCGCCGUGGCCGGAGGCACCUUUUCAUCCAGAGCUUUGUGGUGCUCGAACAAGGACUUCAGGGCCUUGAGCACCUCCACCUCGCUGGACACGCCGGCCGGGGACUGCGCCUGCCGCUUCACCACCGUCAUCCGGAGAGACCUCUCGUGCCUGGACACAAG
rnacentral:lncRNA from 1 species